rnacentral:lncRNA from 1 species
AAACCCUAACGGCAACUCCAACGCCUUCACCUACAACCGCCUCGUCGUUUACGCCGUCAGUGGGGCCUACGGCCGUUUAGCGAAUUUCUCGCUACCCACGCCCUUUCGCCAGCCUGGACGGGGGACCAUACCUGCCACCCUGUCGGCUUCGUUCCCUUCGCUGAGGUUCGUGGUCGACGAUUGUACCGAUAACGCGACCGUCGUACGGGGUUGCUCGCCGGUGCAGCUGAGCGUCGAGCUGGAGGCGGCAGCGGUAGACGACGGCAGGUGGACGUGGCCGUACAAGGGU